UGCUUAAAUAUUCAGACACUUUCUGAAUCAGUCACAGUUUCAGUCAGUGAGCUCAGGACUCCCACCACACUGGGAAAAUAGGUUCUCCUCAACUCCCCUCUUAGCUUUCUACCUGUGAACUUCAAUCUGUGCCCCCUGUUUAUUGACAUGUCUACGAAUGGAAAAAGCAACUUCCAGUUAACCUUUCCAUGUCCUUCAAAAUCUUAAACACCUUCACCAUGUUCCCUAGUCUGCUCCAAUCUUGGCAUCGGUCAGAUGGGCAGGUCAGUGGCUAAUUGAUGUAGCCUGAAGAAGGAAUAAGAUGAGAGUACUUAACGUGGCAAAGCCUGUCGUGCCCGAUGGACGUCAGCAAUGGCAGUCAGCAGUGAAGUCCACUGGCAAGGAUGGGCGGGCCCUAGCCCAACGCAGGGGAAUACAAACCGUCACGGGGGAAGCCUCGUUCAGAGUGUCUGCAAAUUCGUGGCUUAAGAAAGGACUGUAAUGUUUGACUUUUUAAACUUUUGUUUUUAUUUUUCUACUGUUAUACUAAGAAGACUGUAGUGCUGAACUUUUUAACUUAUUCAUUUAUUUUUCUAACAUAGAACGUGGAACGGUACAGCGCAGUACAGGCCCUUCGGCCCACGAUGUUGUAUCGAACUUUUACCCUCAUCCUAAGGGUAAGGACUGCCUGCAAAAUCUGAGAUUGGGUUUUGAAAGACAUCAACCUUUGCUUGCGAGAGAUAAUGGUAACUGCAGAUGCUAGAGAAUGCGAGAUAACAAUGUGUGGAGCUGGAUGAACACAGCAGGCCAAGCAGCAUCUCAGGAGCACAAAAGCUGACAUUUCGGGCCUCGACCCUUCAUGCGAGAGAACGUAACGUUUUUAAAGAAGAAAUUGCCCCAGUCAAACAAGAAGUCAAAAUAUUAAAUGAUCUGGCCAGUCAAUUACCUCCGCUUGAUGUCUCUUUCUCUCCAAAGAUUUCUCACCAGCUUGACGACCUAAAUAUGAGGUUGAAAUUUAUACAGCAGCAGGAGGUGAGGAGGCAGAGACUGCAACCCUGAGGUCACGGAGGGAAGGAAAAGAGGCUCUUACUUGGAGAUUGAGAAGCAGGAGAGGGCACAACCCAGAGGUUUGGGAGUGGAGAGAGGCUGCAAGUUGGAGGUCAAGGAAUUACUGAACCAAACAACAGAAUAUGACCAGCAUCACUGACGGUUCCCUCGUUGGAUUUGACAUGUUGCAUUUGAGAAGGAAAUGGCCUGUUUCCAUCAUUCCAGAGUACUUUUGUGAAUCCUUGUAUUUAUUUCUGGGCCAAAUACAGGAAUUAAUUUUAUUUAAUAGCUCCAAUAAGUUAAAACUGUAAUCGAAGUUAGUUUUCUUCCUCCUUUGUCGUGUAUCUGUUGGAGUUGCACACAGCACAACGCGUCUUGGAUCAACACAAAUUGACACAAAAUGAGCAACUUCUAAAUGUGACUGAAGUAAUCAACUGUUUAAUGACCAUUUAUGAUGGUUUGGAACAAAAUCACAAGGAUUUGGUCAACGUGCCACUCUGUGUCGAAAUGUGUCUGAACUAGCUGCUGAACGUCUUUGAUCCCUAUGUAUGAUUUACACUUUAAUGUAAGUUUAGAUUGUCCUAAGGUGCACUAAACUGCAUGCGACAUAUUGGAUUUUGAUAUGUACAGGAUCAGUUAAGUAAAUGUGAAGAUUGUGGACUGAUUAAAAUCAAUCCGAGUAUUGUUGACAUAAGGUUUCAGUAUGUUCUAGUUUCAUUUCAGUUCAACAGAUAAAGUAGUUGACAGUUUUAGCGACUUUUGUUUUAAAUCAUAAAAUUGAAACUGAUAUACUUUUGAUUCCAUUUGGUCAGAUCUGCCCAGGAUCAUGUAGACAUCUUGACAUUCUGAUUGUAAUGCUCUUCACGGUGACAAAUGUUAGUGCUGGAGAAUGACAUGUAUAAAAUACACAAUAUGAACAUCAUCCAGUUAAUGUCAAGGAAUAAACGGCCAGACGUAGAAUAAAUUUUCAUAUGACCCUCAAUCUCAUAGAGUCAUACAGCAUAGAAACACCAUAUCUAUGCCUACCAACAAACACCAAGCUGCACUAAUCUCAUUUGUCAACACUUGGUCCAGAGCCUACUUUGACCUAGCAUUUUAAAUGCUCAUCCCAGAUGCUUUUUAAAUGUUGAGAAUACCUGCAUCAAAAACCCUCUCAAGCAGUGUGCUCCAUAUGUCUAUCACUUUUUAGAUGAAAAAGCUUUCAGACUUCCUCCAAAGCAUUUAAUCCUCACCUUAAACUUGUGCCAUCUGGUCUUAGACACAUGUGCCAUGGGGAAUGGAUUCUCACCAUGUAUUCUGCCCGUGCCUGUCAUAAUUUUCUAUGCCUCAAUCAGAUCCCCACCCACACCUCCGCCUCCUCUGCUCCAAGGAAAACAAACCCAGCAUACCAGUCUAUCUCAUAACUGAGACUUUUUAACCUAGCCAGUAUCUUGAAGAGCAUUAACUGUGCCAUUGUGGUAUUUU